GCCGACUUGGCGCAGUUGGGAGCGCGGUAGACUGAAGCACUUGCUGAGUUCUAAUGGUCACCUGUUCAAUCCAGGUAGUUGGCA